AGGCGGGAGACGCUGGUUCUCUGAGGACGCCGAGAAUGGGGUGCGCUCAGGGUUUCUGGAAGUGGACAAGAGUCCGGCCGGGGGCCCUGCGGGUGAGAAGGGUGGGACCCAGGGGGUCGGGGUGUAGAGGUGCGGCGGGGCGGGAUAGUGCCUUCUCCUCCCCCGCCCUGUCUUGGCAGACCCUGAGACCCGGGGCAGGCUCAGAGCUGGGGACGCCUAUGGCUCUGAAGACCCAAGGGGGAGUUCCUGUACGGGGUGGGUGGAGGAGGGAGCUCAGCAUUGCUUCCUCUGUCGCCGGCGCGGACUACCGCCCCUCCCCAGCGGCCAGAUUCACCUCAGACUGCAGUGCUUUUGCCCUGGAUAAGUUGAGGAACUGCUGAGCGGAUGAGAUGUUUGGGCUGUUGCAAGAUGAGUGGGAUUAGGCUAUAUGAUAUCAUAACUAUCAACCGGAGCUGUCUGAAAACACUCGCAUAUCCACUCAUCCAGUCAGUACUGCUUACUGCUAAGCCCCAGCUUCCCUUACUCUUUAAGAGACACCUCUAGGUCUCCAAAGCCCAACAGCGCAUCUGCUCACAGCUUUGAAGGUGGCAAGAGUGGCCUGCUAUGUGUCUGCGUAGGUUGGUGCUUUCAGGAACAAGUGGUUCUGGAGGUACUGGAUGCUUUAUUAGAACAACCUGUGUGGUGCCCCUUGCCAAUGGAGAUGACUCAUGUUGGCUUCCCCCCCCCCCCCAAAUAAACUUUGUAUUCAAGACACCAGUAUGCCUGGUCAUUUGCAGCAGUAAUCCAGCAAGAGACCCAUUGGAUUUCUUGAGCCCGUGUUGUCGUCCCAGAUGUGUCAGCAAGAAGUUUGACCUUGGAUGAGUCACUUGCCCUCUUUGAACUUGUGUUUUCUUAUCUGUCACAUGGGGUAUAAAGAGAGAGCCGCACAGACUGAUGGAGACAGGAGUAGGUUUCUGAGGGACACAGUGAAAUCUUUUUCCUUGUAAGGCUGGAUUUGCCACACAAAAUAAGCCUCUGCUUGUUCUUAUAAAGAAAUUACGAUAGAUUUAAAAGAAAAUAUGAGAAGCAAGAAAGAUUGCACAAAGCAAAACAACAAAAAACUAAUAAUAGUUGGUAUUAGAUUUACAGCAUGAAUACUGUUUUAUGCUUGCAGUUAGUGUACUUGGUUGUCCCGCUGUCUUUACUAUAAAGUUGCUCAUUGUGCUUAGAAAAUAUGUGUUUCACCUGUGGACCCGAAUUUUUUCUUAUUUUUUAACCUUCAAGCUUGGAGUGGACGCUCAGUUGGAUUGGUCUUGCUGAGGUUUGCCUGAAGAACAUCCUCAGGGUCUCUCACUGCUAUAAUCUUACAGGUUUCCUUCUGUCUGACUGAGGCUGGGAUCCUUGUACAACUAUGCUUCUGCCAUCUUUUCCAUUCUGGCUUGAGAAGUGGUGAGCUGGUUCCUCUCGCCUCUGACAUGUCCGGGCUUCCCAGGUGUCUUUUCAAAUGAGUGUAGUAAAAGGCAAUCAGAGUGUUAGAUGCAGCACGUUAACAAUUGCUCCAGGCAAUCGUGUGUCCCUUCCACUCCACCCCUGUUCCUUAGACCCUCUGGGCAACUUCUCACUAGAACUUCCUGGUCUUAAGCUGGCCUUGACGUUUAGGAUGCUGAGGGCCAUCACAGAGUUGAAAUGACUUGGCCAGGGUCAAACCGCACAUUGAUGAUCAAGCCAUGGUUUUGGAAGAAGAGGAUUUUAUUUUUAUUUUUAUUUUUUAAGGAUUUUUUUUUUGUACUUUAUUAUAACCUAAUGUUCCUAUACUUGUCCAUUAGUAGCUUUUAAAAUCCAUAAUGGGUUUGAUCACAUCACUUUCAGUAAUCCUUUUUUUGUCAGCUUUUUGGAAGUUGCAGUUAGUGGUUAUCUCUUGAGUUUGAGGUAGUGGUAUUUUAUUAUUAAACAUUUUUUUUUUUUUCAAAAUUUUUAAAAAACUGCUUUCCUUUUCAGACCAGAUGAGGUAGUGGUAAAAACGAUACCAUCUCCAACAAGUAAAGGCUUGACUAAUUAGGUUAAGUCUUUAAAAUAUCAAAUGUGUAUAAAUUUUAAAAUAUCUGUGGGUACAAAUUUUACUUUAAUUGAGAAGUAUGAAUAAAAAUCAUAUCGUCACCAUUGGAGCCCCUGCCAUUGACCAGGGAUUGUGAGGUGGGAGCCAGCUUCAUUUUACAGGAGAGGAAACAAACCCGAGAGACGGCACAACUCUGGCACAGCUGUCAUGGAUAAGUUACUGAUGAUCUUUCAAUCCACAUACCAUUUUAACAGUGGAAAAGGAAUUCUCAGCUAUCCUACAGGGUUGUACUAGUUAAAUGAGAUCCUGUAUGUCUAGCAACAAGUAAACUGUAACGGGCUCCCUAGCCCAGCACAUUUUAACAUAAGCACUUGUGGACUCUGGAAGCAGUGUGGUGAAGUGGUGAGUUCAGGCAUCUUGGGAGUCUGGCAGGCCUGGUGUAAAUACUGAACCUGCUGCCUGACCUCUGUGAGCCUGAUUUCCACAUGUGUAAAGUCAGGGUAAUACUGUCUGCCUUAUAUUCAAUGAAAUGUACCCACUAAUUGCAGUGGGUGCUGAGUAAAGGUUGGCCUCCACUCCUUUCUCUCCCUUGCACACACGUACUUGGGAUAAUGAGAUUGAUUAAGUCUUUCAGCAAUUAUCCUCGAGGGGAAAAGGCUUAAAGUACUUUUUUGUACUUAUCAAUAAUUCUUCUAGCCUUUUUGCCUUCCCAACCCAAGCCCCAGCAUGAAUAUUCCAGGGCCUGUAAUUGUCUGUCUUGUCUAAGAGAGAACUGAAAAAAAUCGUAAGCCAGAAAGGACAGGUCUUUGAUAGAAAGUUGAAAAUGGAUGUAGCUUGGUCUCCCUUUGCCCAUUUUGUGGCUUUCUUCCCUUUUUUAUUAAUUUUGCUGGACAGGGAAAAGAUACAGAAUUCAGGGGGUUCUAGCUGGGGGGGGGGCCUGGAAGAGGCUGUAGUGAAGGGCAGCUAGAGGGAGGAGUGUGAUCUGGCUGACGGUCAAAGCUAGAAUGUGGUGUGGGGGAAAUUUCUAUUAGAUGCAGGAUUUGGCUAAAUAUGGAGCCAAUUUCCAUCUAGUCCUUUAAGGCCCUCUUUUGGGACUUUGAAGUUUUUGUGCUCCAGGCAGAUUUUGACUGGUUGUGGUGGCAUCAUAAAUGAGUUUCCAUAGUAAAUUGUAUGCUGAAAGGAAAUUAAAUUCCAAAAGGGUGUUUGUUGUGACUGAUGCCAGAAUUUCUCUGAGAAUUUUAUUAAGAUUCAGUCUAUAAAAGUACUUCUUAAUACUCUGAAGAUAUUAUUUAGGAGAUAGUUUUUAAAAAGUAGAAGUAUUAUCUUUGUGAGCUUUUGAAAUGUCAUCUUCCUAAAUCUUUGGAGCAAAUGAGGCUCAAAACAUCAUAGAGACUUAUAUUUUAAAAGCAUUUCUUCCUAAAUGUAAUGUUUUCCUUCUCUUCCUGUUCCUUCCCUCCUCUCACAUUAUUUUGAUAAUGAGUUAAUUUUGGUUUCUUUCACAUUGUUGUGGCCUAAUUUCUAAAUUUAUGACCCUUCAUUUCUAGAUCUUGCAUGUAUGUAUUUUUCCCUUAAGUCAAUUCUCAUUCAUUAUGAAGAGCUUGUAUAGCAAGGUGGGAAAGAGAGAGGACCCUGGAGCUAGGCUGGCAAGAGCUAGGCUCUUUAGAACUUGGAUUCAGUCCUCACAGUAGCUCUGGGAGGCUGAUCAUGCUAUUCCCUACACACAGAUGUGGGAAUGGGUGCAGAAACACAUGUGUGUUCACACAGCCAGCAAGAGGUUAAUCUGAGUGUCAGCUGCAAUGAUCUGUAGGACUCCAAAGCCCAUGCUUCCAGCGAGAAAGGCAGGCAGGGGCCUUGCAUGCUGUGCCAGGGUUGGGACUUAGAACUAUAGGCAGAGAGGGUCAUGUUUGUAUUCUAGAAAGGUAACUUGGUGGCUGUAUGGAGUUUUGAAGUGAAGCAAGUAGAAAUUAGGAGUAGAGAAAUGAGCCCAUUAAAGUAAUUGUCUUGAGAGGUGACAAGGGCCUGAACGGAAGACAUUAAGACAGUGGCAAUGGUGGCGGAGAAGAGGGGACUUGUUGGAAUCCAUAGAGCUCAGUGCCUUUGGAUACUAGAAUUGAGGGAGGAAACAAAUCUGAGCCUUGCCUUUCCUUGUCUCAUCCCUUCCCAUUUCAGGUCUGAUGCCCCAGGGAUGGGUGUUGAAGAUGCUAUGUGCGGGCUAAAAAUCGCCGCAGAAACCAAGAGUACGUCCUUUUGUGUCUGCCGACAGCUAGAGAAAGGUGGCUGAGCGCAGUCGGAAAGGGCCUUCCCCUCCCUGUGCCACCCUAGCCUUAUAAUUCCUAACUUUCCAGGAGCAUCACAGAGGGUGGAAGUUGGAUUCUUGACUGCAUUUUGGGAAAUGCUAGUUUGAGCCAUCAAACUUAAGGUGAGAAGUGUGGAAGGGAAGACGGCUUCCUGGUGUGUUGUCUGCACACCUCUUUUCCCUGGUGACACAGGGGACCCACCAGCGUUUGGUCUUCAGUUCUGUAAGAGUUGAUCUGCUUUAGAUGGGGUUGACUUGUGGUCACCAAAUUUGCAGGGGUUGACUGGGAAGCAGGAGUGACUAUGAACAUAAUGGCCAGUCCCUAGAGGAGUCGAGGCCAGCCUCCUCUGAUGGGUGAAGUCUCUGCGGGGCGCCAAGCCAUGCUCAGGAGAGCGGGCUUCAGAGCACGGGGAGAUGGUUGGCUGAGAUCUCUGUUCCUGUCAUUGGUAGGAUGCACUGUUGCCACACCAGGAAUAUACUGGUCUCGUGCCCUCUCCUCUAGUCAGCGCCAGAUGUGGUAAUAAACUUGCUUUUGGGCUUCUGUUUUUCCAAGUUGUGCAACAUCCCUGCCCUUCUGAGAGUUUGUGCUGGCUCUGGUCAGGCCGGAGGUCAGGUGGUCAGAUUCUGGCUUUAUUUGGGCUGUGUUCUCACUGGGAGGAGGCAGCCAGGUUACCUCUGUUGGACCUGCCUGCUCCCAGCAUCAUCAGCCACAAGUGUCUCUGCGGUGAGUCACUCCAUGCAAGGGUCUGCUCACCCACUUUCUCCUUAAUGUUUACACCUGUCCCUCAAAGAGGGAACCUCUUCUCCUUGUUCUGAGGCCACUUCUCGGCAGUCCCCAAAAGUGUCCAGAAUAACUCAAGUCACCUGUACUGGAGAUCAGUUUGCUGAAAUUAUUCAAGCAACGAUUCUUGAAGUUGAAGAAAAGGAGGUUCCAGCCUUGACAAGUGUGGCCCUUCCUGGAAUCCCUCUGGACACACCCUUCUAGCAUCCUCUAGGAAAGAUGCGGCAGCUCAAAGGGAAGCCCAAGAAGGAGACCUCCAAGGACAAGAAAGAGCGGAAGCAAGCCAUGCAGGAGGCCCGGCAGCAGAUCACCACGGUGGUGCUGCCCACGCUGGCUGUGGUCGUGCUCUUGAUCGUGGUGUUUGUGUACGUGGCCACACGCCCCACCAUCACGGAGUGAGCCCUGCAGCUGGCCCGCAGACCCCAUCGGCAGGGAGAGGAGGUGCGGGAGGGGGGACGCAAACAAAAAUGGCUUUCAUAUUCAGAGAUGUUCAUGCUGCUGAGCUAUAAGCAGGAGCACCCUGUCUUUUCUGAUCUUUGACUUGAUUAAAGUAUCUCUGCUUUUCUUGGGAGGGAAUAGGGGAUGUUUUAUCAGUGAAUGUGCCAUACACCUUAUGGUCCACUUCAUGUGCCUUUCAGACUUCAAAGCGUGUGUGUGUGUGUGUGUGUGUGUGUGUUUGUGUGUGUUUCUAAGUAGCUCCACCUGAAGAGAGGGGCGGAACCUCUGGGUCAGGAAGCAGCUGGAAUCCGCACUCACCUCAUUCCCAUUGUUUGGAUCAUGCCUCUUUCCAGCACGUGUUCACAAUCUCCAAAGGGACUGUAUUUCUUCUCUGUGCUUAAUGUGAUUUGAAAUAUGUUGAAUCAAAGUGAAAUAUUUAUUUUUUGAAUAAAGGAGAUAAUAGCCUUAAA